GCCUGGCCUCGACAAGCUGGGGCAGGUUGUGUGCAUGCCUGCCUUCACCAUACUAAAAGGAGAGAAACAACUGCAGGAGGCUGGGAGAAAGGAGAGAUACUACUACUGGAGGCUGGGAGAAGGAGAGAUACUACUACUGGAGGCUGGUAGAAAGGAGAGAUACUACUACUGGAGGCUGGUUGAAAGGAGAGAUACCACUACUGGAGGCUGGGAGAAGGAGAGAUACUACUACUGGAGGCUGGUAGAAAGGAGAGAAACUACUGCUGGAGGCUGGGAGAAAGGAGAGAUACUACUGCUGGAGGCUGGGAGAAAGGAGAGAUACUACUACUGGAGGCUGGGAGAAGGAGAGAUACUACUACUACUGGAGGCUGGGAGAAAGGAGAGAUACUACUACUGCUGGAGGCUGGGAGAAAGGAGAGAUACUACUACUGCUGGAGGCUGGGAGAAAGGAGAGAUACUACUACUGCUGGAGGCUGGGAGACAGGAGAGAUACUACUGCUGGUGGCUGGGAGAAAGGAGAGAUACUACUGCUGGAGGCUGGGAGAAAGGAGAGAUACUACUGUAAAGUCCAUACCAGUGUGAUGCAUUACAUGCUCAGUCUACACUGGUAAAUCCCCGUCUCUACCCCUCCCCCCAUUAUCCUAAACACAAUAGCAACACUAUACUACAGACCUACUCUCCUAUCUCUCUCUACACCCCCCCCACACACAAUAUCAACACUAUACUGUAGACCUACUCUCCCCUCUCUCUCU
ensembl:lncRNA